UUAAGUUCAGCGGGUAUUCCUACCUGAUCUGAGGUCAACCUUGGAAGUUGGGGUUUUACGGCAGGGGCUCGACGCUCUCCACAUGCGGAAUAUUACUACUACGCAGAGGAGGCCACGACGGGUCCGCCACUAGAUUUAGGGGCCGGCCCGCCCCCGAGAGGGCUUAGGCCGAUCCCCAACACCACACCCGUGGGGGUAUG
rnacentral:misc_RNA from 1 species